CACGGACCAAUCAGGGACUUUGUUUACAAAUUGGCUUGUGAAUUCCAAUAUGAGCUUCCGAACUUCGCAACGAAGUUCGGAACAUUUGUGAUCAAAGUUUUCGUGAAAUUGACUGUAAAAUCGUCCCCGGGGUGGGGCAUUUUUCACUCUCAGCUUGCCCAGGGGCCGUGCAUUAGUCUUCAAGUUGUGUCCCGGCACCUGGGCAUUUGCAC